rnacentral:rRNA from 1 species
GACGAACGCUGGCGGCGUGCCUAAUACAUGCAAGUCGAACGCUCUUUUCUUAUCGAACUUCGGUUCACCAAGAAAAGGGAGUGGCGAACGGGUGAGUAACACGUGGGUAACCUACCCAUCAGCGGGGGAUAACACUUGGAAACAGGUGCUAAUACCGCAUAAUUCUUUCUUCGCCUGAAGGGAAGAUGAAAGACGCUUUUGCGUCACUGAUGGAUGGACCCGNGCUGCAUUAGCUAGUUGGUGGGUAACGGCCUACCAAGGCGACGAUGGUUAGCUGGUCUGAGAGGAUGGAUCAGCCACACUGGAACUGAGACACGGUCCAGACUCCUACGGGAGGCAGCAGUGGGGAAUUUUGCG